rnacentral:rRNA from 1 species
UUCCGGUUGAUCCUGCCAGACCCCACUGCUAUCGGGAUAGGACUAAGACAUGCAAGUCAAGCGCUUUCUAGCUAAUGUGAGAGCGCGGCGUACAGCUCAGUAACACGUGGCCAACCUGCCCUUGGGACGGGAACACCCCCGGGAAACUGGGGUUAAUUCCCGAUAGGUGAAGAAGUCUGGAAUGACUCUUCGCUCAAAAGACGUUUAUGUCAUGCUCAUAUUCGUCGCCCAGGGAUGGGGCCGCGACCGAUCAGGUUGUUGGUGAGGCAAUGGCUCACCAAGCCUUUUACCGGUGCGGGCCGUGAGAGCGGGAGCCCGGAGAUGGGCACUGAGACAAAGGCCCAGGCCCCACGGGGCGCAGCAGUCGCGAAAAUUUUGCAAUACACGAAAGUGUGACAGAGCUAUCCCGAGUGCCAUCCGCUGAGGAAGGCUUUUACCCAGUAUAAAUAGCUGGGAGAAUAAGGAGAGGGCAAGUCUGGUGUCAGCCGCCGCGGUAAUACCAGCUCUCCGAGUAGUGUGGACGUUUAUUGGGCCUAAAGCAUCCGUAGCUUGCUAGAUAAGUCCUCUGUUAAAUCCACCGAUUCAAUCGUUGGAUUGCGGGGGAUACUGUUUGGCUAGGGGACGGGAGAGGUCGACGGUAUUUCCGGGGUAGGGGUGAAAUCCUAUAAUCCCGGGAGGACCACCAGUGGCGAAGGCUGUCGACUAGAACGCGCCCGACGGUGAGGGAUGAAAGCUGGGGGAGCGAACCGGAUUAGAUACCCGGGUAGUCCAGCUGUAACGAUGCAGUAUGGGUGUUGCGAUGGCCACGAGCCGCCCUAGUGCCGCAGGGAAGCUGUUAAGCCUGCCGCCUGGGGAGUACGGCCGCAAGGCUGAAACUUAAAGGAAUUGGCGGGGGAGCACCACAAGGGGUGAAGCUUGCGGUUCAAUUGGAUUCAACGCCGGA